GAUGAACGCUGGCGGCGUGCCUAAUACAUGCAGUCGCGCGAACAGACGAGGAGCUUGCUCCUCUGACGUUAGCGGCGGACGGGUGAGUAACACGUGGAUAACCUACCUAUAAGACUGGGAUAACUUCGGGAAACCGGAGCUAAUACCGGAUAAUAUAUUGAACCGCAUGGUUCAAUAGUGAAAGACGGUUUUGCUGUCACUUAUAGAUGGAUCCGCGCCGCAUUAGCUAGUUGGUAAGGUAACGGCUUACCAAGGCAACGAUGCGUAGCCGACCUGAGAGGGUGAUCGGCCACACUGGAACUGAGACACGGUCCAGACUCCUACGGGAGGCAGCAGUAGGGAAUCUUCCGCAAUGGGCGAAAGCCUGACGGAGCAACGCCGCGUGAGUGAUGAAGGUCUUCGGAUCGUAAAACUCUGUUAUUAGGGAAGAACAAAUGUGUAAGUAACUAUGCACGUCUUGACGGUACCUAAUCAGAAAGCCACGGCUAACUACGUG
rnacentral:rRNA from 1 species